rnacentral:lncRNA from 1 species
AACAAACGGGCCCAAGAUCCAUCGCUCAUCAUCACAUGCUUCAAACAUUCAAAUCAAAACAUCAACUCAGCUCCCUCACUUGAAGACCUUCCUCCUUCGCACUGGAAAUCGCCUCUGCCGGUGGCGGAGGGCCGAACCUUACGAAAUAUAUACCAUUUCCUUCCUCCCAAUGAGCUCUACCUAAAUCCCUCAUUAAUCUUUUCCAAUUUUUGUUCAUCCAUCCAAAUUGAAUGACACAGAUUAAGAACCCUAGGAAACGAAAUUCAAAUUAAAUUUCCACAUUGCGUGAUUCAACCUACCAACUUAGGGACAUCCCUUCUCAGCCUCCACUCAAGCAAUGCAUAACAAUAAUUUGGGAAGAAAGGAAGAACGUUCGAAGACCUACCAAAGCAGAUUCAGAGAUGGCAAUGAACCCAGGUACUUUACAAUUCUCCUAUUUCUCUGCUCUUCGACUGCUCCCUCUUCUUCCUUCUAUCUUCUUGCUCCUUCUUCUCUAUGACUCUGUAGAAGCGAUUGGUUUGCGCGUGAGAGCUUGAUGGUUGGAAGCUUAGCACAAGUCAAUUGAAGCUCUGAUGAUGAGGUUCAAUGGCUUCUAGGGAAUGCCUAUAAGUAAGGUUGAGAGAGAAAUCUCCAGAGGAGAUCAAGAGAGAAAAAUCUGUGAAAUGAAGGUUCCCCUCAACUUGGUGGUGGCGAUCUGAAAUUUAUAGACUUCUCUCUCUUGCAUUCUGUUAGAAAUCCAAUCCAAAUGCAGGUGAAAUUUAACUCAAAUUACUUUGAAAUUAGCCAUUAUGUUAGUUGAGUUAGUUACUUUGUUAAAACUCUUUGAGUUGGUUACAAAUUUGUUACAACAUUUUGUUAUAGCUAGGAGAGAUUAUCUGUUUAAACUAUAUUUUGGUUAGCUACAAACUACAUUCUAUGAGGUCACUACCAUGUUGGUGGAGAUAGUCGAUGUACCAUUAAUUACAGAAUUGGUUAAUUGACUGUUAAUGCAUGUUUAAUUAAUUGUUAUGUUAGAAAUUACCUAUUAAUCAUAAAUCCUGAAUUUUUGCCAUCAUACUAUUAGUUGGUUAAUGAUGAAAGGGUCAAAAGCCUAAUGAAGUGUCAAAGCUGUUAGUUUAGUUAGAUUAGAAAUAGUUUGAUGGUGGAUUUGUUUGAUUUGAAACUGCCUUUUAAGUUCAUUUGAGAGUGAGUUUAAGGUUGUUCUUUGAUUAGAGUUAGAGUCAGUUUGGAAAAUGGGUUGGUUUAUUGAUUGACUUGUUGAUUGCACUGCAUGGCCUUGUCUUUGUUGAAUUGCUAGGUUUGCAUAGUUUUGCUCAAAAUUGUAAUUUUGCAGGGUUUAUUUGGUCAAGUACCAGGUGAUAGUAGGUAUGCAUUGCCUGAAUGUCUGCUCAAUUGCAUUUCUAUUUGAUGGUGCUUGAUGCUAUGGAUUUUUCUUUGCACCAUUGCCAGUUCUACAAGCAUGUUUGGAGUUUGUUUUUGUUGACCAUUGCAAGUCCAUUAAAACUUUGACAUGUGCAUAUGUGUGGUUCUACAGUGGGAAUUCUACAAGAUGGUUGUAGCAAGUAUUAUGGUGUAUGAUUUGCUGCAGGUUUUGAUCUUUCUCAUGUUACAGGCAUGUUUAUUAGUUAUGCAUGAUGACUUGCUACAGGACCCUAAUGACUAUCUAAUGACUUGGUUAGAUUUCUGUAGGUUUUAUGUGUUGAAUGGGUCUGUUGUGGCUCGAUGGUGAUGCAGGCUUGGAAAUGUUGGACUAACAUGCUAAGUAAUGGUCAUGCUUACUUGUAACAUUGCAUUGUUGGUUCUGUUUAGAUUAUUAUACACGUCAUGAACAUGUAUGGUUUUGUUAUAGUUUUGAUGGCAUGUGCAUGGCAUUGCUGCUUUUUGUGUAGGCAUGAUGACUUGGUAAUUUUGCAGCAUGUGUGCAUUGUGUUUAUUUGCUUACUUCACUUUGGCAUUGUUUCUCAUUGUAGGUCAUGGUUUCAUGGAGGGUGGUGGUUGAACCAAGGUUGUAUGACAUCAAAAAUGGAUUUUGGAUUAUCAUGUGCAAAAGGCAAACUCCAAGAUCAAGGAUCAAAGAUUCAAGAUUAGGAAUGGAAUUAGAAUUGGGAUUUAGGGUUUUAGGACUUUUGGGAAAAAAGGGUUGAGUUGACAUUUGAACCAAAAAGUCAACUAUUGACCAAAGUUAACAUUUGGUCAACAUGUCAAUUUUGUGUAGUUUUUCAUGUAAUGGAUAUCUUAUGACUUGUAAUGGUGGAAAUUAAUAUUUAUGAAUAGAAUUGGCACUUUGAAUUAAUGAAUUUGAUAUUGAAUUAACUGAUGAACUUGAACAUGAA